GCCCGAGUAGCUCAGUUGGCCAGAGCAGCCGCCUUGUAAGCGGCAGGUCAUCGGUUCGAAUCCGAUCUCGGGCUCAA
rnacentral:tRNA from 4 species